rnacentral:rRNA from 1 species
GAUGAACGCUGGCGGCGUGCUUAACACAUGCAAGUCGAACGAAGCACUUUAUUUGAUUUCCUUCGGGACUGAUUAUUUUGUGACUGAGUGGCGGACGGGUGAGUAACGCGUGGGUAACCUGCCUUGUACAGGGGGAUAACAGUUGGAAACGGCUGCUAAUACCGCAUAAGCGCACGGCAUCGCAUGAUGCAGUGUGAAAAACUCCGGUGGUAUAAGAUGGACCCGCGUUGGAUUAGCUAGUUGGUGAGGUAACGGCCCACCAAGGCGACGAUCCAUAGCCGAACUGAGAGGGUGACCGGACACAUUGGGACUGAGACACGGCCCAAACUCCUACGGGAGGCAGCAGUGGGGAAUAUUGCACAAUGGGCGAAAGCCUGAUGCAGCGACGCCGCGUGAGCGAAGAAGUAUUUCGGUAUGUAAAGCUCUAUCAGCAGGGAAGAUAAUGACGGUACCUGACGAAGAAGCACCGGCUAAAUACGUG